CCUACGGGAGGCUGCAGUGAGGAAUAUUGGUCAAUGGACGAGAGUCUGAACCAGCCAAGCAGCGUGAAGGAUGACUGCCCUAUGCGUUGUAAACUUCUUUUAUCUGGGAAUAAAACAGGGUAUGCAUACCCUCUUGUAUGUACCAUAUGAAUAAGGAUCGGCUAACUCCGUGCCAGCAGCCGCGGUAAUACGGAGGAUCCGAGCGUUAUCCGGAUUUAUUGGGUUUAAAGGGUGCGUAGGGGGGUUGGUAAGUCAGCUGUGAAAGGGUGCGGCUCAACCGCAGAAUUGCAGUUGAAACUGGCAGACUAGAGUACAGGAGAGGUGGGCGGAAUGCGUGGUGUAGCGGUGAAAUGCUUAGAUAUCACGAAGAACUCCGAUUGCGAAGGCAGCGCACUGGAGUGGAACUGACACUGAUGCUCGAAAGUGUGGGUAUCAAACAGGAUUAGAUACCCGAGUAGUC
rnacentral:rRNA from 1 species